UACGGGGGGGGCAAGCGUUGUUCGGAAUUACUGGGCGUAAAGGGCCAGUAGGCGGCCAACUAAGUCCGACGUGAAAUCCCAAGGCUUAACCUUGGAACUGCGUCGGAUACUGGAUGGCUUGAAUUCGGGAGAGGGAUGCAGAAUUCCACGUGUAGCGGUGAAAUGCGUAGAGAUGUGGAGGAACACCAGUGGCGAAGGCGACUCUUUGGCCUGUAACUGACACUGAGGCGCGAAAGCGUGGGGAGCAAACAGG
rnacentral:rRNA from 1 species